CGAAAUAUGGCGGGCGUUUGCAAGAAUGAAACACAUCAAACUGAAGUGAACAUACAUUUUUAAGACAGGACAUGAUGAUAUCAACAUGGAAACUAUGAUUGGUGGAUACAAACCAGAAAGGUGUGUGCUGAGAUUAUGUGGAGAAAGAUUCAUAUUGAGGCAAUGGAUUCUACAUCUGGU